GAUUUAAUAGGAGUGGAUGUCAACUUCAUGAUUUCUAUUAUGUGAUCGACAAGGAACUUGUGAGAGAAAGCCUAUCUGACAAUUUGAAAGUAAGGUACGACGUGGCAAAAUAUGGCUGCCCUCUCACCCUUGAAUUGGGACAAAUGUUUCAACCUAUAGUAGAAUUGUA